UACAGGGGGGGCAAGCGUUGUUCGGAAUUACUGGGCGUAAAGGGCUCGUAGGCGGCCAACUAAGUCACACGUGAAAUCCCUCGGCUUAACCGGGGAACUGCGUCUGAUACUGGAUGGCUCGAGUUUGGGAGAGGGAUGCGGAAUUCCAGGUGUAGCGGUGAAAUGCGUAGAUAUCUGGAGGAACACCGGUGGCGAAGGCGGCAUCCUGGACCAACACUGACGCUGAGGAGCGAAAGCCAGGGGAGCAAACGGG
rnacentral:rRNA from 1 species